rnacentral:tRNA from 1 species
AGGGUAGUGGUCCAGUCCGGUCUAGGGCGCUUGCUUUGGGAGCAAGAGAUCGCGGGUUCGAAUCCCGCUUACCCUA